UCUUUGUAGUAAUUAUUUUUAAUUAUUUUAAAUAAUUAUAAUUUUUUAAAAAUUAACUUAAAAUUAUUAUUUUUAAUAACAGUUAUUACUUUCUGCAGAAUAAUUAUUAGGUCAAAGGAAUGGAAUGGUUUUACAAGAAUGUUUCUUCAUACCUUCAGAAAAAUUUUGUUGUCCUGAACUUGGCUGACUUAUCAACAGAUUUUAAAAUGAUUUUAUUACUAUCGUUAUUAUACCAAUACAGUGGACCAUGGACAGCAUCCUUGUCAGUUUAACUGACAUUCCACAGCAUUAGAAUCAAGAGAUAACCUAGGAGUCAUACAGUCUAGCUCCCUAAUUUUAUAGGUGAGGAGACUUAAGGCCUCAGGGGGGAAUUGACGUGGCCUCAGAAGAGUCAUACAGCUCACUGCCAGUUAACCUUGUUCCUUUCUGUCUCAGUGCCUGCAAGAAGGGUGUGGGUCAGGCUGGUGUGAGAUGGGACCUUGUAGGUAGGUCAUAGUAAAUAAGGGGUUUUUUGGGGAAGAUGAAAAAGUCCUGGAGAUGGAUGGUACUGAUGGUGAUACAACAGUGUGAAUACACUUAAUGCCACAGAACUGUACACGUAAAAAUGGUCAGUUUUAUGUUAUGUAUAUUUUACCACAAUUAAAAAAAAAAAA